rnacentral:lncRNA from 1 species
UCAGCCUUGUCAUGUUGUCCACUGCAUCACGAUCAAGAAUGUGUUCGAUGAGACCAUUUGUCUUCAUUUUAGUCCACUGGUUGACUUGAUCGACAACCUCAGCAGCCUUAAUCAAAUUGGCAAGACAAACAUGGAAUAGUAGAAUUAGACAUUUCAUAUUAGUAAUUGCAGUCAUUUGUACGUAUUAGACAUUUCAUAUUAGUAAUUGCAGUCAUUUGUACGUAUUAGACAUUUCAUAUUAGUAAUUGCAGUCAUUUGUACUCAAUUCACAUAACGUUGGAGGCUUAUAAAAG